AUUUGGCCUUUUACCUGAUGAAUGAAGAGGUUUGGCUCUUAAAGACUCGACUUGAGUACAUGACUUCAGAGACCCUGAAAUAAAUGCAAAGCCUAGUGUGAGUCAACACCCUUGGCCCUCUUGAGGACAUAGUGAUACUUUAAGGGAGCAUGAGUUGGGGAUUGAAAGAAAUUGGAAUUCACUCACAAACAAUUUUUAAAUACUUCCUACAUGGCAGCCACUGUUUCAGGUGUUAGGGAGUCAACAGCAGAGGAAACUAAUCCUUAUUCUCAUGGAGCCUGCGUUCCAAAGAAGACAUGAGAAGUACACACACGCACACAGUAUGGAAGGUGAUGUUAAGUGCUUCUGUGGAGUAACAGCCCUUCUUCACAGUUUGAAAAUUACUUGCUCUUUAGAUUAAAAAUGUGUCAUUUCAGAAAGUAAUAAUACCUUCUAAUAUAUAAGUUGGUGUUUCCGGCUCGUAUCAUGAUUUUAAAAUUAGGCCUGUCAAUACCAACCAAAGCUCUAUCACUAUUGUGACAUUAUGUUGUCAUAUUGCAACUUCCGUGUCACUUUUGAUGUGGCUUCUCACCUUCCUAUGUUAUAAACACUUAAUUUUGGAGUAAUACACAAUUGAGUUAAUGUGUACAAAUAAAUAUAUGGGGGAUUGUGAAUAACGUCACGUGAAUUUAUUUCAGUAGAAAUGUGAGAGUUUGAAGGAUGCUUCUCAAAAAAAGAAGAAGAAGAAGGAUGCUUCACAUGGAAAGAGGAAGUGGUUGGGGGAACCUGGGAGAAAAAGGAAAACUUAAAGCCAUCUAAAGUGAAUUCAACUGGCACCUUUUAACAAAGUUGGAUAUACGGCAUUUAAAAUUUGACAUCAGACCUUAAGCUCGUUAAUUUGAUAUGGAAGCCAACAAAGCGAUACAUAAUUAAAGUCCCUAAAUAAUUUCA